AAAGAAAUAACAAGAAGAAUGAAACAAUCAGAAAACGGUGGUGUUUGAGAGGUAGAAAAAUAGGGUUAAGCAUUGUGACGCUCAAGCUUCACGUGAGAACAGAGUCCUCUUUCUCGCUUCUGAACUCAGCCGCGAACGGCUUCCUCCGUUUUCUUCUAUUCGGACCACCGCCUAUCUUCUUCGCUCAGCCUUCGGCGGUGCAAUCCGCCCCUCGACUUCAACUCCGAUUCAAUUCCGACGGUGCGGCUUCUUCUCUUCUCAACAAACCGCCACCGGGGGAACAACUUCGCCCGCUGUUUACUCACGUCCAUCUCACUUCGACGACACGGUUCUUGGUUUCUAAAUUCGUUUCACUCUCAGAUUUCAAUCGCAAAAUUGUUCAACCUCCGCCUUGA